AUUGAACGCUGGCGGCAGGCCUAACACAUGCAAGUCGAACGAGUGGCGGACGGGUGAGUAAUGUCUGGGCAACUGCGUGAUGGAGGGGGAUAACUACUGGAAACGGUAGCUAAUACCGCAUACGACCAGAUCUGGCCAUAUGGGUGUAGCUAGUUGGUGGGGUAACGGCUCACCAAGGCGACGCGCCCUAGCUGGUCGGAGAGGGUGACCAGCCACACUGGAACUGAGACACGGCCCAGACUCCUACGGGAGGCAGCAGUGGGGAAUAUUGCACAAUGGGCGCAAGCCUGACGCAGCCAUGCCGCGUGUAUGAAGAAGGCCUUCGGGUUGUAAAGUACUGUCAGCGGGGAGGCGUUACCCACACAAGAAGCACCGGCUAACUCCGUGCCAGCAGCCGCGGUAAUAC
rnacentral:rRNA from 1 species